CAUUGCCAAAACGGCUACCGGGCUACCAACGUCCAGAAGAGAGGACAUCGGAUGGCUUAUGAAAGCAUUGUUUCGAUGGACGUCUUUCCUCUGACCUGUUACCAAGACAGCUGGAUGUGUAAGAAGCUGGAACUAAGUCACUGAAGAAGUAAACCGAUGAAAACCGAUUUGGAUUGUCUGAGAGAUGACACAAGUAAAAGGAGAAGAAUGCUGCUCAGCUGGGUUGGCGAAGCUCUUGGAUAUCAUCAGCACAUGUAUGAAGCACAGAGUCAUUCCGGUAGGCACAGAGUCGUUCCUCGAUGGACGUGAUGACCUGGCACCAAAACCGCUUAAUGUGUAUGAAGC